UCGGGAAUUUUGGGCAAUGGGCGAAAGCCUGACCCAGCAACGCCGCGUGAAGGAUGAAGUAUUUCGGUAUGUAAACUUCGAAAGAAUAGGAAGAAUAAAUGACGGUACUAUUUAUAAGGUCCGGCUAACUACGUGCCAGCAGCCGCGGUAAUACGUAGGGACCAAGCGUUGUUCGGAUUUACUGGGCGUAAAGGGCGCGUAAGCGGCAAUUCAAGUCAUCUGUGAAAUCUCCGGGCUUAACUCGGAACGGUCAGAUGAUACUGCUUUGCUAGAGUGCAGAAGGGGCAAUCGGAAUUCUUGGUGUAGCGGUGAAAUGCGUAGAUAUCAAGAGGAACACCUGAGGUGAAGACGGGUUGCUGGGCUGACACUGACGCUGAGGCGCGAAAGCCAGGGGGAGCAAA
rnacentral:rRNA from 1 species